GUGGACGUUGCAUAAGUCCUGUACUGGCCGUUUGCUGGGACCCACAGAAAAUCAUUGCCAGACUUUGACAAGGACGGUGUGUGCAGAACAAUGUGACGGCAGAUGCUA
rnacentral:sRNA from 1 species